rnacentral:tRNA from 1 species
CGCGGAUUAGAGAAGUGGUCUAUCUCACCAGUCUCAUAAGCUGGAACACUCGCAAGGUGUCGUAAGUUCGAAUCUUACAUCCGCAA